rnacentral:lncRNA from 1 species
UUAGCCUUUGCCUUGAAGCGCUAUGCUUCUUUGGAUCCUAGCGUUGCCAAACCGUUGCCUGUAAUAGCGGCAGCCCAGUGUCUGUUAUCCUUCCAAAAUGUUGCCAGCGUCCUGACUGAGCUCAAGAUGAUUCAAACCGACUUGGGUCGCCUUGCAGUCUCAUCAGCAAUGUUCUGUGAUCUGAUUGGUAUUUGCUUCAUGGCAUCCUCAUUUGCAGUUUUACAAACUUCAGGGGACUAUCCAAUGAUUUCAGUGUUAGCUAUCUUAGUCUUUGUCAUUUUUGUACUUGUUUCAGUAUAUAUCAUUCGACCACUAAUAUUAAAAAGUUUGAGUCUAGUACCUGAAGGAAGAUCUAUAGGGGAGUCGCAUAUUACUGCUAUUUUUACUGUUCUUCUUGUAGUCGGGUUUAUAAGCGAGAUGAUUGGCCAGCACUUUAUGUUUGGACCCAUGGUUAUUGGUUUGGUGGUGCCUGAAGGUCCACCUCUGGGCGCCGCAUUAACUGCAAAACUUGAUAUUCCUGUUGGAAAGAUCCUGUAUCCAGCA